UGUGCUGAUGAUGAUUACCUGGCUCCCUCUACUGAUAUUCAUGAGGAAAACUGCCAUAUCCGUUACCCAAUUUACUGAGGCACA